UUAAAGCAUUGCAAAAACCGAAGAAUCACACAGACCAAAGGAUACCUGUAUUCUGAUCUCCGCUUUACUACAAAAGAUACAGGUGUCCUUUUGAGCUGUAAUUUCCUCCAAAUUUCAAGAAGAUGCUGACACUGCUUUGGGAAUCCCCCAACACUCCUCCCACCAUUUAGGCUACAGAUGAGGAAGUGAUGGAAAAAGCUUCAUCUGCUGAUUUCUCUCCACAACACAGACUGUUGAAAGAGACUGAGCGAAGCAGAGGGAGCCAGAGGAGAAUCUUCUGGCAUAAUGCCUCUAUGCUUUUAAAAGAAUAGGAUCUGAUUCUGUAUUAG